rnacentral:snoRNA from 1 species
UUUUACCUCACUUAUAAGCCGGGGGACUAGCUUUAUGUUGUGUUCACUAGUAAAAUGUGAGGUAGAGUAUAGAGACAGCCAGACACCGAGAAUGUUUUGAUGUUUUCGGUCACUUUGUGUGUCCCACAUUU